UUCCUGGUGUAGCGGGGAAUGCGCAGAUAUCAGGAGGAACACCGAUGGCGAAGGCAGAUCUCUGGGCCGUAACUGACGCUGAGGAGCGAAAGGGUGGGGAGCAAACAGGCUUAGAUACCCUGGUAGUCCACCCCCGUAAACGUUGGGAACUAGUUGUGGGGUCCUUUCCACGGAUUCCGUGACGCAGCUAACGCAUUAAGUUCCCCGCCUGGGGAGUACGGCCGCAAGGCUAAAACUCAAAGGAAUUGACGGGGACCCGCACAAGCGGCGGAGCAUGCGGAUUAAUUCGAUGCAACGCGAAGAACCUUACCAAGGCUUGACAUACACGAGAACGGGCCAGAAAUGGUCAACUCUUUGGACACUCGUGAACAGGUGGUGCAUGGUUGUCGUCAGCUCGUGUCGUGAGAUGUUGGGUUAAGUCCCGCAACGAGCGCAACCCUCGUUCUAUGUUGCCAGCACGUAAUGGUGGGAACUCAUGGGAUACUGCCGGGGUCAACUCGGAGGAAGGUGGGGAUGACGUCAAAUCAUCAUGCCCCUUAUGUCUUGGGCUUCACGCAUGCUACAAUGGCCGGUACAAUGGGCUGCAAUACCGUGAGGUGGAGCGAAUCCCAAAAAGCCGGUCCCAGUUCGGAUUGAGGUCUGCAACUCGACCUCAUGAAGUCGGAGUCGCUAGUAAUCGCAGAUCAGCAACGCUGCGGUGAAUACGUUCCCGGGUCUUGUACACACCGCCCGUCAAGUCA
rnacentral:rRNA from 1 species